CUGUUUUACCACCACCCCAAACAAACUUAUUUUAAUUCGAUAAAGUUAACAACACGAUUACUGAAAAGAAAGAGGAAAUAAGGGGCAGAUGCAGAGGCAGAAAACAAAAGUGAAAUUGACGAUAACAAGGGCAACAUGGAAAGGGCUGUGUGCUUUCGGCGCGAGAUCAUUCAAAGUCAGGUGGCGGCUUCACUUUCGUUUUCAUCUCAACCUAUUACAAAAUACCAAUACCAAUUCACAUGUGCCGCCGUGCAUAGAUAUGCGAGUGUGUGUUAUUUAUCUCUGCCAGAACUCAACAUAAGCGAAAAUAUCUGGGACGAGCAUAUCUUCGAGCAGAUUAGGAAGGCACCCGCCAUCGUUGGAAUCAUCUCUACUACAAAACAACAGAUUCGAAAACAACUAAAAACGGGAGCCCCAUGGCAGAGAUAAUGUUGACAAUCUUUAGAUCUCAGCGACUUUUUUGUUAGCUGCACGGAAGUCUGCUCGCUUUUGCCAACCCAAGUUGAAGGAUUACUGGAGGAGCUUUGGAGGAUUAUGCUCGGCGGGAGAUGCCAAUCAAACUUUUGCGUGCAUCUAAAUUUGGUGGCAACACCAAGCGAUAAAUUAGUUUGAGCUGAGAGCCAAGACAAGUGCCAGAAGCCUCUGCAGCACAGCUCAUACCACGAGUAGUGUUGCUUGCCUGACAUUUCAAUUAAUUUCGAGGGCGGGACGCUUAUCAAAAGCGUUUUGCCAAAGGCCAAAGUGCAAUAUUCGCCACGUCUGACUCACUUACGAGUUAUUUAAUUAAUGAGAUGGAAUCCACAGCAAAGUGAAAACAAAGCAAUAUUGCUGGGGCAAGAGAUUUAAAUCAAAGUUGGACAACAAUGGCCAGCACAAUUGUGUCCCAUCAUCCCUUGCAACGGACAGGACCUGCCAACAAAGUCGAAAAAGCGGAAAGACAAAGGAGCAGAACACUUGACAAGUUUCGCAUCAUUACUUGGGUGUUUUGUGGUGAUUGGUUUUUGGAUGAUUUUUGCCAUCAAGUGGGGGGGAUAAGCCCGUCCGUCGAGUAAUGAAUUCCACACUUGAAGUGUCAGGCAAACACAAUUAUUUGACGACGUGUUUUGUUUGGUUAAACGAAGCUCACACACGAACAAACUUUAUCAAACUAAAAGAGAGAAAUAAAAGUAGCUACAACUAGAAAACUGAAGAGUCUUGGGGCGCUUGGCGUUCACUCCCUUACAUUUCAAUUAAAGUUUCAUUUUAGUUAAAGUUCGAUCCAGUUCCCUUGAUUAAAAUGUGAAAACUGUUCACUGUUUUCCUGCUAAUUAGCUGCACUUGUUUGUUGCCAGACUUUCAGCUCCGACCCACAAUUGUGUGUGCAGCAGCAGCAGUCAGGCAGCACACGCGCGAGACCCCACGAAUGUGGAUUAUAAAAAUUUAUGACUCAUAGAAAUUAAACGACUGUCAUUCGUACAUAUUAGCGUGGCCAAAUUAGUUUGUCUUAGCCGCUGUAAUGCGGCCCAGAGAGAUGAAGGCAAGAGAGAGGGAGAGGGAGCGACUGUGUGUGUUGUUUUGUGGGUGUGGCGAUAUGCCAUGACUAAGGAUUGCUCCAUAUCGGAUUCCUAUUGACUGUAAAUUAGCCAAACAAAAAGGCAGCAUUUUAUGCAUAAACUAGGCCAAAGGAGGAGCCCCAAAGAUGCAUAUCACAUCAUUGUGUGUCGGAAGGGGGUGGCAUUUGCCAAACAUAAAUCAGUGGCAUAAAUAUCGUGUAAUAAACAUGUUUCCAGGGAUGAACUUUUUAUGGCCAGGCUGCAAAGGUAGCCAGGGUUUGUGCUCCUUAUCUCUGCGAGGAUUUGUUCACUCGAACAAUAAAUUUAAGCCCGUUUUGCCGGCGUUUACCAUUACAUUAUACUAUGAAAACUUUGUCUUUAAUUGAACUUUUGCUGCUGAUGAUGGCUGG